ACUAGCAUAUUAACUCCACUGUUU
rnacentral:piRNA from 1 species